AACGAACGCUGGCGGCAGGCCUAACACAUGCAAGUCGAGCGAGAUCUUCGGGUCUAGCGGCGGACGGGUGAGUAACGCGUGGGAAUAUGCCUCUUGGUACGGAAUAGCCUCGGGAAACUGGGAGUAAUACCGUAUGUGCCCUUUGGGGGAAAGAUUUAUCGCCAAGAGAUUAGCCCGCGUUGGAUUAGGUAGUUGGUGGGGGAAUGGCCUACCAAGCCGACGAUCCAUAGCUGGGUUGAGAGGAUGAGCAGCCACACUGGGACUGAGACACGGCCCAGACUCCUACGGGAGGCAGCAGUGGGGAAUCUUAGACAAUGGGGGCAACCCUGAUCGAGCCAGGCCGCGUGAGUGAUGAAGGCCUUAGGGUUGUAAAGCUCUUUCAGCUGGGAAGAUAAUGACGGUACCAGCAGAAGAAGCCCCGGCUAACUCCGUG
rnacentral:rRNA from 1 species